rnacentral:rRNA from 1 species
CACGUAGUUAGCCGUGGCUUCCUCCUUAGCUACCGUCAUUAUCGUCACUAAGGACAGAGGUUUACAAUCCGAAAACCGUCUUCCCUCACGCGGCGUUGCUGCAUCAGGGUUUCCCCCAUUGUGCAAUAUCCCCCACUGCUGCCUCCCGUAGGAGUCUGGGCCGUGUCUCAGUCCCAAUGUGGCCGAUCAACCUCCCAGUUCGGCUACCGAUCGUCGCCUUGGUAGGCCGUUACCCCACCAACUAGCUAAUCGGACGCGAGCCCAUCUAAAAGCGGAUUGCUCCUUUGAUCUCAGAACCAUGCAGUUCCGAGAUGUUAUGCGGUAUUAGCGACCGUUUCCAGUCGUUAUCCCCCUCUUCUAGGCAGGUUGCUCACGCGUUACUCACCCGUCCGCCACUAAGUUUGCUCCCGAAGGAACAAACUCCGUUCGACUUGCAUGUGUUAGGCACGCCGCCAGCGUCUCCGUGUGCCACGGACGUCAAACUAC